rnacentral:rRNA from 1 species
AAGCAGCCUGAUCCAGCCAUGCCGCGUGAGUGAUGACGGCCUUAGGGUUGUAAAGCUCUUUUCUCCGGGACGAUAAUGACGGUACCGGAAGAAUAAGCCCCGGCUAACUUCGUGCCAGCAGCCGCGGUAAUACGAAGGGGGCUAGCGUUGCUCGGAAUCACUGGGCGUAAAGGGCGCGUAGGCGGCCUAUUAAGUCGGGGGUGAAAGCCUGUGGCUCAACCACAGAAUGGCCUUCGAUACUGGUUGGCUUGAGACCGGAAGAGGUUGGU